CCCGGGCGCUAGGUGUUCGACAGACUUGAACCGCGACCUUGUGGCCUCAGAGGUCGUUCAUUGGGACCGUGGGGAGACUCUCUAACCUGUUUGAGGUCCAUUGGCAUGGGCGGGUUAAACCAUGUUCUGCCAGACGGGGAGCAGCGUGCGCCGGGUCGGGUCUGGGCCGUGGGCUGAGAACCGGACUGCGAUGUUGCGGCCCUGCGGGGGGACAUUUGCGAGAAAGACGAGACUGAGUCGCUUGGGGUGAGGCGACUCGAGUUAAUCUUUAAAAGACUUCGUUUUAUGUUCCCGUGGCUGCAUCUCCGGUACUGUGGGUGGCCCCUCUCACAUAGGCUGUGUGGGGGCCGCGUGGCCUGAUGCCUUUCUAACUCCUUUCAGUGUGGCUUUUUUAUUCCAAAUCUUGCGAUGAUGUUGGGUGAGGACUUAAGGGGUAGUAGGAAUGGGUUUAAAGUCAGGCGUCGGCUUUAAUCUUCUGUGAAGCCUACAGGUGUGAAAACCCGGGCUCUCGGUCGGAGAGUGGGUCCCGGAGUCGUCCUGGGUGAUGAACCCUCACUGCCCUUAGUUAAUGCAUAAGACGAUUUCCGACUGUUUUUAAAAUUUUGACCCCACAUGGUGAUCGGACGAAGGGAAAGUGUUUUGAGGUUGCAACACCAAUAUUUGCACCAAGAGGAGAUACUGUUUUGCGAAUUCUAGGGCAGCAUGCUUUGAGUGAAGGGAAACAUUUAGCCAUAGUUCAUCAUUUUGUCUAGUUUGUGGACGUCAACAGAGUCGAGCAAACUGCAGGUUGCUCUUUAUGGUGGAUCCUAGUUGCCAUGAUUUUAAUACUCUUACAAACUGUAAAGCAUCGUUUUGAAAAGUGCCUUCAGUUUUAAGUGUAUGGGGUCCAUGCUUAAAAUGGAUUCCAAACUCAGAAAGAUGGAUCUAGUGGAGGAUUAUGGGCUCUGGAAUCAGGAAUGAGUUAACUGAUUAUGCCACUUGGUGAUUCCACAAAGUGACUUGAAUCUACACAGUAUCACCCUUUGUGUACUAACUUAGCACAAGUUUUUGGAACUUUAUACACAUCUAAAGGCUUUGGGGAUUGGAACAGAGUACCUGGCAUUUAAAGGGUUCAUCCAUUGUAACAAUGGUUUGACUUUGGUGAGUUAGGUGAAACAUGUCUUCUUGCUAUACAAUUUUUAUAAAAAUGGUACUUUGGGAGCCAUUCUUAAAGGAUUGUUGGUAAACUUAGAAACCAAAUUGUGUUAGAAUAUUGUCAACACGUCAAGCCUGACUGCUGUAUUUUACCUUAUGGUAGGAGUAAUGGCCAGGAAUGGCAUUUCUGCCCUAUAAUGACUAAAGAGCUAUCAAAACUAUUGUUUUGGCCUUUUUGGGAAACAAAGGAAAGGUUAAUUUCUAAAUGCCUGUAGGUGAAUUCUUAGAUAAUGAUAAAUUAGCUGCCGGUUACUACUGAGCACUUUACACGGGCCAAGCAUUGCUGAGUUCUUUGUAGACAUUACCUCAGCUACGAAAGUGUUCACCCCUAUUUUACAAAUGAAGAUGAGAGAUGAAAUGUGGGUGUCCCAGCUAGUAAGUGGCAGAGCCUAUGUCAAAUUUAGGUCAAUGAUUAUAAAGCCUGGGUUCCCCUCUCUUCUACCCUAUAUACGUUCGUAGUAAAUAAUCAGAAAUGUGAAGUGGCUUGAGAUUUCUGAUAGUUAAAUAGAUGAUGUUUGAGAUACACCAUCACGGAAAAUUUGGUUGACAAGAAAGGUUUAAUUCACAUAAAAAUGUAAGGCUGUUUUAUUGUGUUCUCCACUAAAUUAUCUUCUAGUUAGUAAUUACAUGCCCUUGGCAUUCUAAAUUGGGUUCUACAGAUAGAGUGUGGUAGAAGUCCUGUUGUGUUUUUAUAUUCUCAUAGAGAA
rnacentral:lncRNA from 1 species